rnacentral:tRNA from 1 species
UGGAGCAUAGUCAAGCGGUAAGACAACGGACUUUGAAUCCGUGAUGCAUUGGUUCGAAUCCAAUUGCUCCAG